AUUACUGAAUUUUUUAGUUUUAAGAAUGACAAGUUUUAGUCUUUUAGAGCUAUUUAAAAGCUUUAAUGACAAGAGGCAGUGUUAAUUAUAAAUUUGAAUUGGCACAGGUUUUUGGAAAAGACUCUAAUUUGCUAACAUAAGCUUACAAGAAAGUUAUAAUAAGCAUCAAAAGUUCAUUAAGGUCAGUACAUGGCUAUAAAGCGUUUACAGUGUAUAUAAUGCAGUAUUGUAAUGACAGUUAGUAUGUGUAGGCGAAAAAAUCACGUGCUGUUGCGCAAGCGCGCGGUGGCCUAGUGGUUACGGGGGUGGGCCCGGCCUUGAGGCAAGAAGGUCCGGGUUCGAAUCCCCGAAACCGCAUUUGUAGACUUUCUUGUAAGUUCUUUGGUAGGUAUUCUUGUAGGCACUAGGUAGGUUAUAAGCCGUGGCUGGCUUCAGUGGCAUGCAAUUACAUGUAAGUACAAUACACUGUGUCUAAUAUAGUUUAAUUAGUAUGCAUACAGAGCUUACAUUAUAAUGCACACACAGCUUCAGACUACAUUACAGGUUUGUACAGUGCUGGUGACACUCUUCCAUUGGCUACCAUUCCUCAUAGAGUGCACGCUAUGAGUACUGGUAGUCCAUGGGGGAGUGCCAUUGGUACUGUAUAGAUCUGUAGAGCUUAUCAUGCAAUUGUGUAUACAUACAUGAAGCCUCAUACUUACUAGUAAUAUACACACAGAGCCUUUACAUGUACUUAAAUAGUAACAUAUACAUACAGAGCCUCAUACACACACGCCAAUUUUUUUCUUUUUUUUUCUUUUUUCUGGGCAAUGAAAUAAUUAACAAGGCUAUUUUAAAUACAUGAAUUCUUUUGUUAACUUUAUGAAAUAUACACCACACACCAAUUUUUUGGCGAAUCAGAAAUCAACUAAAUUCUGAAAUUAAUUUUAUUUCUAAAAAAAUAAACAUAAAUAAGUUUUUGUAUACAACAAUAA